UACGUAGGUCCCGAGCGUUGUCCGGAUUUAUUGGGCGUAAAGCGAGCGCAGGUGGUUUAUUAAGUCUGGUGUAAAAGGCAGUGGCUCAACCAUUGUAUGCAUUGGAAACUGGUAGACUUGAGUGCAGGAGAGGAGAGUGGAAUUCCAUGUGUAGCGGUGAAAUGCGUAGAUAUGUGGAGGAACACCGGUGGCGAAAGCGGCUCUCUGGCCUGUAACUGACACCGAGGCUCGAAAGCGUGGGGAGCAAACAGG
rnacentral:rRNA from 1 species